CGUUAAAACUCCGAUUCCCGGACGAUCACCGAUGUUAAGCAACGUCGAGCCUGGUUAGUGGCUAGAUGGGUUACCGAUUGUGAAUACCGGGUGCUGCAAUC